AUUGAACGCUGGCGGCAGGCCUAACACAUGCAAGUCGAACGAGUGGCGGACGGGUGAGUAAUGUCUGGGAAACUGCCCGAUGGAGGGGGAUAACUACUGGAAACGGUAGCUCAUACCGCAUACCAUCGGAUGUUCCCAGAUGGGAUUAGCUAGUCGGUGGGGUAACGGCUCACCUAGGCGACGAUCCCUAGCUGGUCUUAGCGGAUGACCAGACAACCUGGAACUGAUACACGGUCCAGAUUCCUACGGGAGGCAGCAGUGGGGAAUAUUGCACAAUGGGCGCAAGCCUGAGGCAGCCAUGCAGCGUGUAUGAAGAAGGCCUUCUGGUUGUAAAGUACUUUCAGCGGGGCGGCGUUACCCGCAGAAGAAGCACCGGCUAACUCCGUGCCAGCCGCCGCGGUAAUAC
rnacentral:rRNA from 1 species